rnacentral:lncRNA from 1 species
CUCGUGGAUUAGAUUUGAAUGAUCUGGGACAUCUGGCUGUAACCUUGAAUUCAAAUGGCAUCAAAAGGAUUUACUUAGUUGGAGAAACUGGGUCUCAAGGAGGUGACCUUGUCAUAGUGCAGUCGAGGACAUCUUCUCCUCACCCCUCAUUCUGGGGCUGCCUUUUGGGUGGUACUGUCCCUUACCUGCUUCUGCAGACAAGAUGACCGAUGACAACCCUCUGCAGAAGACAACAGAUGCAGACUGAUGUUCUAGCUCCCUUCCUUGUGACGUCAGGCACUUCACUGAGGCAUCUAAAAUAGGAGUGCCGAAACUCCCAUUAGGGGGAAAAAAAAUAAAAGUGGAGAGAAGUGACGAUCUUCUCACAGUAGAUGAGAUGAACACAAUUCACUAGACUUGCUGAUGUUUUCUGGAGGCAGGAGGUGGCCAUUAAUCCACUCUUCCCCAUCAUUUUUGCUGGCGCAUUCUCUGCCCCAUGGCCUGUAGGAGAGGGGCAGCUCCCCAAUCUAGGUAGCUGCUGCCCACCCCGCUCCACCAGGGGACUCUGUGGCUCGAAUGGGCACCAGCAGGCAGGCGCUGCACAGAGAUGUGGGUGCUGCAAAGCAUCCUUUGAGCUCAGGGAGCACGAGGAUGGGAGGCCAACCAAUAAGUCAUAUCGCUAGUGACGGUUCACCAGCCUCCAAUCCAGCUUGAUUCAUUAUUCACCAUGAAAUUCUCUUCCCUCACUUGCUAAGCAAGGGAUCCCCAAGUGUUCAUCAGUAUUUACGGACAUCAGACAAUGACUUAUCUUAGACCAUCUACAUUUAAACCACAGCAAUGCAAAUGAAGCUUCCUUUGCAUAGUAAGUAGUUGGGAUGGGAUAUUACUACAUACAUUUGCAUCUUCACUAGUAAAGGACGUUCCUCCUCCAGGAAUAUUUCCUUCUUGUACUGUUCUGGUGUGUUACUGUUACUAGGAAGUCAGUCAGGAAAGGUAAUACAAAAGACAGAGUGGGUUUCCCAGCUCAGAAACAAGUGUACAUCACUUAAAAUAUUGGCAGAGGAUAGAGGAGAGGAAAAACUCUUUGUGGCAGCCACUCACUAUCAAAGCCUCAGCUGCUCUGCCUCAUAGCAGUUACCAGAGAAGUGCA